GCCGGGAGUGGUGGCGCGCACCUAUAAUCCCAGCUACUUAGGAGGCUGAGGCAGGAGAAUCACUUGAACCCAGGAGGCAGAGAUUGCAGUGAGACAAGAUCACGCCACUGCACCACUGCAUUCCAGCCUGGGUGACAGAGUGAGAAUCUGUCUCAA
rfam:Homo sapiens chromosome 11, GRCh38 reference primary assembly.